GCCCCGCGCAGCACGGGGUGUUCACGCACGUCGCCUACGACGAGGCGUGGCCGGGAUGCGGCCAGCUCCUCCAGUUCGGCCUGGAGCAGGCCUC
rnacentral:tRNA from 1 species